GUGAACGCUGGCGGUAGGCCUAACACCUGCAAGUCGCACGGCAGCACAGUAAGAGCUUGCUCUUACGGGUGGCGAGUGGCGGACGGGUGAGGAAUACAUCGGAAUCUACUUUUUCGUGGGGGAUAACGUAGGGAAACUUACGCUAAUACCGCAUACGACCUACGGGUGAAAGCAGGGGAUCUUCGGACCUUGCGCGAUUGAAUGAGCCGAUGUCGGAUUAGCUAGUUGGCGGGGUAAAGGCCCACCAAGGCGACGAUCCGUAGCUGGUCUGAGAGGAUGAUCAGCCACACUGGAACUGAGACACGGUCCAGACUCCUACGGGAGGCAGCAGUGGGGAAUAUUGGACAAUGGGCGCAAGCCUGAUCCAGCCAUACCGCGUGGGUGAAGAAGGCCUUCGGGUUGUAAAGCCCUUUUGUUGGGAAAGAAAAGCAGCAGGUUAAUACCCCGCUGUUCUGACGGUACCCAAAGAUUAAGCACCGGCUAACUUCGUG
rnacentral:rRNA from 1 species